GCCUAGCCGUAAAAUACCAACUCACACCUACCAACGCCAGGGUAUUACGAGCUUCAGCUUAAAACCCAAAGGACUUGACGGUGUCCCAUCCACCUAGAGGAGCCUGUUCUAUAAUCGAUAAUCCCCGCUAUACCUAACCACCCUUCGCCAAUCAGUCUGUAUACCUCCGUCGCAAGCUUACCAUAUGAAUGACCACAGUAAGUUAAAAGAUCUCCAGCACCAAUACGUCAGGUCAAGGUGCAGCUCAUAGGAUGGCAAGCAAUGGGCUACAAUUUCUACACUAGAACAAACGAAACGCUGCAUGAAACACAGCCACGAAGGCGGAUUUAGUAGUAAAAAGAAAGUAGCGUGUUCUUUUUAACUAGGCCAUGGGACGUGUACACACCGCCCGUCGCCCUCUUCAAUAGUAACUCAAACAUUUAUAAUAACCCAACACGCCUUAGAAGAGGUAAGUCGUAACAUGGUAAGUGUACCGGAAGGUGCCCUUGGAUUAA
rnacentral:rRNA from 1 species